UGACAAUACUGUAGGGCAGAUGCCAUUUGC
rnacentral:piRNA from 1 species